GGACCUUGCGCUAAUAGAUGAGCCUAAGUCGGAUUAGCUAGUUGGUAGGGUAAAGGCCUACCAAGGCGACGAUCUGUAGCGGGUCUGAGAGGAUGAUCCGCCACACUGGGACUGAGACACGGCCCAGACUCCUACGGGAGGCAGCAGUGGGGAAUAUUGGACAAUGGGGGGAACCCUGAUCCAGCCAUGCCGCGUGUGUGAAGAAGGCCUUAUGGUUGUAAAGCACUUUAAGCGAGGAGGAGGCUACCUAGAUUAAUACUUUAGGAUAGUGGACGUUACUCGCAGAAUAAGCACCGGCUAACUCUGUGCCAGCAGCCGCGGUAAUACAGAGGGUGCGAGCGUUAAUCGGAUUUACUGGGCGUAAAGCGUGCGUAGGCGGCCAAUUAAGUCAAAUGUGAAAUCCCCGAGCUUAACUUGGGAAUUGCAUUCGAUACUGGUUGGCUAGAGUAUGGGAGAGGAUGGUAGAAUUCCAGGUGUAGCGGUGAAAUGCGUAGAGAUCUGGAGGAAUACCGAUGGCGAAGGCAGCCAUCUGGCCUAACACUGACGCUGAGGUACGAAAGCAUGGGGAGCAAACAGGAUUAGAUAC
rnacentral:rRNA from 1 species